rnacentral:snoRNA from 1 species
UUGUCCAAAGCUGUUGCUAGGUGCAGGUUAUUGUAACCUGAGCCAUUCAGGCUGUUGGAAAGAGGAAAGGCCAAGCUCCACUGUGGACUUCUAUAAUGGUAGUUCACUACUAUAACAUGGUCAACAGA